GAUGAAGAACGCAGCGAAAUGCGAUAAGUAAUGUGAAUUGCAGAAUUCAGUGAAUCAUCGAAUCUUUGAACGCACAUUGCGCCCUCUGGUAUUCCGGAGGGCAUGCCUGUUCGAGCGUCAUUUCAACCCUCAAGCCCGGCUUGGUGCUGGGGCACUGCCCGUCACACGGCAGGCCCUGAAAUUCAGUGGCGAGCUCGCCAGGACCCCGAGCGCAGUAGUUUACACCCUCGCUCCGGAAGGCCCUGGCGGUGCCCUGCCGUUAAACCCCCAACUUCUGAAAGUUUGACCUCGGAUCAGGUAGGAAUACCCGCUGAACUUAAGCAUAUCAAUAAGCGGAGGA
rnacentral:misc_RNA from 1 species